AAAUAGAACUUUGCAGAGAGAGUUAACAGGGCGUGAAACCGUUAAUUGGCAAACGAAUCGGAGCCACGAAGUCGUUUCGCUGAUAGUGCUAGUGAGUUCAGCGGUCGAGCCGCAAAGCUCGGCCGUGUAUUCUCGAUUGGCGCCAUCUUUGUAAGCGUACACUGCAACCAGUUAGACAAUUGGUGAUGGAACCAGUCCGCUAGUAGUAGUGUGGCGUUCCUCGGAGCGUUUCAUGCUGCUGGGCGUAAGCGAGUGAACUAUUACCAAAUACUGACUGGCGAAAUGAAAAUCACCGCGAGGUGUUUCCAUAGAAUGCCGUCUACUGCAUGCGGGUCUACGUGUUCGACCAUGUGGUUAAAGCUCAGCAUUUUUGAAUUCGGACUUGCCAGAUGUCGGUGGGGCAACCCUCGAUUCUGGUAUAGCCUCCGUCUAAUCGGGUGUUGACUUUGCUGUGUGUUGUUCGGAGACGCUACGAUUGGGCUUGUAUGCAAGUGGGUUGGCCAUGAUUGGCAGUGAGUAGGUCGGCUUUCCGAACGACCCGUCUUGAAACACGGACCAAGGAGUCUAAUUAGGCAUCGAGUCGAUCGGUCUUGAAUAGGCCAGACUGGGUAGUUCUACCCGAGAAGGCGUAGAGAUCGUGUGAUCAUUGGGCCAACCUUAGGUCCUUUGCGCAACAUGUGCCUGUUCGUAUAGCAAUGUGCAAGAUUGCUGAGCGGAGUAAAGAGAUGCCUGAUUGGUACCCGAAAGAUGGUGAUGCUUGGGCAAAUUGAAGCCAGAGGAAACUCUGGUGGAGGAUUUAGUCUGACGUGCAAAUCGAUCGUCAGACCUGAGUAUAGGGGCGAAAGACUAAUCGAACCAUC
rnacentral:rRNA from 1 species